AUGGCCGUCAUGGAGGACGGCGAGGAACCCUGCGUCCUUUCUUUGCACUCCAGAGCGCAGGCUCCAAGUCGGGAGGAGACAAAUGUUCUCCCUCAAGAAGUGGAACUCGGUAGCCAUGUGGAGCUGGGACAUUGAGUGUGAUACCUGUGCCAUCUGCAGGGUCCAGGUGAUGGAUGCCUGUCUUAGAUGUCAAGCUGAAAACAAGCAAGAGGACUGUGUCAUGGUCUGGGGAGAGUGUAACCAUUCCUUCCACAACUGCUGCAUGUCCUUGUGGGUGAAACAGAACAAUUGCUGCCCUCUGUGCCAGCAGGACUGGGUGGUCCAAAGAAUCGGCAAAUGAGAGGUGGCUCAGGUGCUCCUGGUGUGGUUGCUGACCCUGGACAACCUUGCCAUCGAGUUACUGGACAAAGACUAAACACUGCAGGGGAUUCACCCUUGAGAAAGAGAGGAUGCUGUAUGCCUUUGAGACUCACCAAAGGCAUGCUUUAUUAAUUUGUCUGUUUAGUUUUGGGAAAUUCUCUACAAUUAAGAUAAUUUGUUAAAAAUGGCCUUUCCUACCUCUGUGGUGUGUGUGUGAUACGUAUGCAUAGAAGAGCGAGAACACCAGAAAAUGAUCUUUGUUUAUCUGUCAGUACCCACGACUGUGGGAACAUUGUGUUCACAGAAGAACAUUGUUUGUGUUUAUGCUUGAGGGUUAAAAAGUAGAUAAAAGAAUGUUACAGUAACAAAUAAAAUACAUUGA